rnacentral:lncRNA from 1 species
CUAGCAGCAGGUAGUGGCUCUUGAUCACUCACCAGGUCAAAAAGAAGAAAGGUUACCCAACAUUCAUCAGCUGCAACAUGGAGUUUCAUUGCUAAUAAUUGUAAGUACCAACUUCUUUUUUUAGUGUCUCCAAAACGUUAAAAGUAAUCUUUUCUUUAAACAAAAAACAUCUUUAGAGCUGCCGUCUGAAAAGAUAGGAAAUGAGAUUAGCCUUGUCAUAAGCAUUUGUGGCUCAUCUUAUUUGCUAAAAAGGCGAUACUGGAGGAUCAGCUUUUUGAUACAAUACCUAACAUUUUGAUGCAGAUUGCCCAGGAUGUUGUUCCAAGCACUCACGCUGACAUUUCCUAGUGUUCAGUGCUGCUGCUGUGCUGGCAUCCUGGUACUGCUCGGUCCCCUUAGUGAUCUGCAGUAGCACUGGAUGGAUCCCAGUGUUUAGGAUGGAAACCUCAAACAACCUGUGAUUUUCUGUAUCCUUGAUGGUGAAAUCUGUUCCCACUCUAACAGUAAUUAGGGUCAAGCCUGAGCAGCCACAACUAUUGAGAAUCCUGUAGAUGAUUCAUCCACCUUGUUAACUCUCAUGAUUAUUAGAAUCUGUGCUCCAUAUUUAAUCUCAGCUGGUAACCUAUGGCAGGAAUCAUUUUCACAGUUAGAAAGCAAAGAAGAGAACUUGGCAACUGUGCCCACUAAAAAUCCUAAGUACCUUCUGAUCUAUGGGACCAUUUUGCUCUUCUCCAUCACAUGUGUAUAUUCCUGUGAUUUUAUAGGAUGUUCUGUCUCAGAGGUAUUUGAAAUUUGAUAGUGAAACCAAGUCAUUGGUACUCAUGCACAAUUUCUAACCGCAUAGUCCCCUACAGUCUAUAACAGCUGCAACGUAAGUGAAUCACUAAUGAUGAUAUCCCUAUUUGAAUGCAAAGUCUCCCUACUGACAUUUCCUCUGGGUUACCUAGCUCUGUAAGCCUGUGCUCUAUGAAUUCACUGGAGUCAUUUGGGCUGUGCUGAUGUGCACCAGUGGAGGACCUGACUCGCUCUCUGGUGGCUGCUGUGUGAGCAAUUCGACAACCCUUCCUCUCUGUGCCCCAGGAGGGAGUUUUGCAGCAGAUGUGGGGGACGUUGCGUUGGCGUUGGCACCGAGGUCAUUCUGCAUGCUCGAUGCACUCCCACUGCAAAAGAGCAGUGGAUCCAGCCUCUCUGCUUCUCCCAGCUGCCUCUCUGGAAUCUCAGGAUUGAGAACUGUGUCAUGUCAGCACGGGAUUGUCAUCCUAAUUGCCACGCAUACACAUACUUUUUAUGCACC